UUCGCGCCGCGCGGGUCUUGGCUCAUCGUUCUCUGCCCGUCUUCUCUCACCUCUCAUCUCUCUCCGGACCUCCGGCGAAUUGCGGCAGCACUCCACGACCCAGAAUCAGCCGGAGACCGCCGUCUUAUGAAGUUUCUGAAGCAGAAUAUCAGGUAUUUGAAGUGUUCAUUACUAUGUUAGUGCCAAUAUGCUUCCUGAUAUGCCCCAUGUUUUAUGCCGUUUUUUUUUUUUUCUGGGUGAAUCAAUAGUCAUGAUAAAUUGAUUGGAAAAUGGAGACACGAAAAUGGAGUUCCUCAAUUCUAUCAGAUACAGUAUUUAUUGGAAAAUAGGAAUUCUACAAUUUCGAUUAGGAAGAAGCUUGGCUUUCAAUGUUAAUGGAGCAGAGUAUAUAAUGUUAUUAGUAUGUUGUACCUUUAGCUAAUGGGAAAGACAUCUCAUCAGCCUUAUUAUCUAAAUCAAACAUCCUAUUUCCAGUCAUUGAGAAAGUGAGAUUCUAAACCAAACAUCCUAUUUCCCAGUAUAAUUAGCUUUACAUGGAGAAGAGAAGAUAAAAGAGUUCAAGAACAGAAAAUGAGAUAUAAUCGAGAUACUAAGUAUCGUCGAUUAAAACUACGAUCAACAAACUAGUACAGUUUAUCAAUUUCUAAUCUCUUGGAGAUAGCAGCACCUGGUUAACCAUAUUGUCCAAAUCCAAGAAAGAUGAGCCAUGAGGGCCAGUAGUGGCCUUCUCUGCCAACUUCUUCCACUCCAUGGAUUUCUUCCUCAUCUCUUUUCCUUCCUCUCCCUCCAUUAACUUCCUAACAACGCUUUCUAUGUAGUUUCUCUUAACAUCACCCUCCAUCUCUAUGCCUAUACCCCAUUCUUUGCAACAGUACCUACAGUUGGUUUGUUGCUCGCCGUUGAAGGGCCAACAGAUCAUCGGCACUCCCCCACACACACUUUCAAUGGUUGAGUUCCAGCCACUAUGAGUCAAGAACCCUCCUAUAGCUGGAUGGCUUAGGACUUGUUCUUGACAGCACCAACUUGCUAGUAGCCCUCUUUCUUUAGUCUGUUCUAUAAACUCUGGGGGCAGGACAGGUGAUUCUCCCCCAACCAGGUCAGGUCUAAUGACCCAAAAAAAGGUCUUGCUGCUGUCUGCAAGUCCCCAAGCAAAUUCAAUUAGCUGCUCAUCUGUCAUGACUGUACUACUUCCAAAGUUGACAUAUAUCACAGAACUAGGUUCUUUAGAGUCAAGCCAUUCAAAACAGUCUGGUUCUUCUCUCCAUAGAUUUGCUCCAAUCAACUUGAAGUUGCUAUCUUCAGCUGGUAUCUGGUUAAGUUGUAGGUAUAGGGGUCCAAUGGAGUAUAUAGGUGGUAGCAAAUGCGAAAUUGCCUCUAGAACUUCAUGCUCUAAGGCAUCAAAUGUGUUCAAAAUGAUAGCAGAAGCUCUUUGAACUUGUUCUGUAUCGUGCAAAAUUAAGUGCAGAAUGGGGUCAUUUGGGUCAGUGGUUCUCAUGAAGGUUGGGAUAUCCUUCAAUUGGAUUCCUUUCAUUCCUGGAAUCCAAUCUAUCACUGUAUCCAAAUACCCGUUUGUCAAAUAACUGUCAUCUGCAAGUCAACCAAGAACAUAGUACUACUGAAGUGAGUCAAGUUUUGUAAUGCAAAAGAUCUAGAACAAAUUAUAGACUUAUAGCAUGCAGGUUAGUUAGAUAAUCAAUGCCUCUCCAUAUGUCCAAUGAUCAGAGAUUUAAAGCCAUUUCCAAAUCUAUAUGAAAUCUAUAACAAGUCAUUAGUUCCAUAAUAUCUGCUUCUUCUUUUUUUCAUAAAACCAAAUGAGACUUCACGAAGUAGUGAUAUCCUGCCUUUUCAUAAUUAGUAAUCAGUACCUUUAAGAGGAACCAAACCCUUCUCGAUGAGAUUGUAAUAUUGAAGGUAUCCCAUGAAACCACAAGCACUUGUUGUCCAGAAAAUAACUUCAGGAAGGCCAAGUUCUUGGGCUGCAUCAAGAGUGAAGUUCAUGAUGCCAUCAGCAACUAUGCAGGUCACUGGAGGCGAAUUUGGGGAAGAAUUGAGCUUCAAAAGAAGGUCUCUGAAGGGUGCUAGGCAGUUUUUCCUUGUGGACUCGCAUAGCGAUGGCAUGUGUUGUGUGGCAACGUUUGCAUCAGUUGGAGGAAGACCAUCUGGAAUUGUCUCAAACCGAAAGGAAGGGAAGCCGUCAAGAGAGUUUGGACCUCGAGAUUUCAGCAGGCGUUUAUGUAUGAACUCUGUGUUGACAAAGGUUAUAUAAAAACCUUUGUAGUGGAGGAGCUUAGCUACUUUUAGCAUUGGAUUUAUGUGGCCUUGUGCUGGGAAUGGGAUGCACACUGCAUGUGGCUUCUCUGAGGUUAAGCCAUUGCACUCCAUUUCCACUUUCUCUGAAUAUGGGAUACUCUGGGAUACAGAAUUCUUACCAGUUUUAUUGCUUGUGUGGCCACCAUCCACUACUUUUCAUUAAGUCAUAUUCCAUCAUCUUUUAAUCUUAGCCUUGCACAUUUUAAAGAGUGAAUAUAAUGGUUAAGAUUAGAAACUACAGGUCACAUCAGCACAUUGCUUUUGAUGUUCAGAAGACGUGGCAUUUGAGCUGCCAACAAUAGACCUUCUGAUGCCAAAUACAAUUAUACACCCUUUGCUUUCUUUCAUCAUAUAGGCAGAAUGCAGGAUUCAAGGCUCUCCAACUCAGACCUCUUUCUGUGAAUUGUGAUCCCAAAACGUAUGGCUAGUACCAAAAUCCUGACAUUCAUGGCUAGGUGAAAGUGAAAUACAUGGAAAAAAAAAAAUCCAUAUUUUGCCAUUGCAUAGAUGAGGAUUUGAUGGUUCUAUGUGAUGAUUAGUUCCUGGAAAUGGAACCAGUAAACUUGUUGAUACAUCUGUGCCCUCAAUAUAUACAAUGGCCGAGUUGAAGGUUUUUGCAGAAGAAAUCCUUAUAGAUUUUACCGAAUAUUAACACAACAAAGUUGAUUAUGCCUACUUCAAACGAAAUCUGCACCAGAGGAAGUAUUUUUUUUUUUAUUUUUAAUAUAUAUCUUAUUAAGGGAAAAUGCCCAUUUAGUACUAAUUCAAACCCCUUAUUUCCCAUUCCAAUGAUAAUCUUUUGCAUUAGCCCAUUCCAAUAUAAGGUAACUAUUUUUAUGCCCAAAUGCACAAAUCUUUACUAAAGUCUUAACAAACCAUAUUAUUUUAAGACUAUUUUGCCCCCACCUCUUCAACAUGAAAAGACUUGGCCGAAACCUCAGACUCCGGUCACCGACCGCAGGACUCCGGUCACAGGCCGCCGGACUCCGAUCACCUGAAUUUCCCCGACCGCCGGAUUCCGGUCACUAGAUUUUUCCCUGUAACCAGUUACUGACCCCCAAUAACCAGUUACUGACCAGUUACUCACACCCAGUAACCAGUUACUGACACCCAAUAACCAGUUACUGACCCCCAAUAACCAGUUACUCACACUCAGUAACUAGUUAUCGACACCCAAUAACCAGUUACUGACCCCCAAUAACCAGUUACUGACUCGUUACUGACACCUAGUAACCAGUUACUGACCUUCACUAACUAGUUAGACACUCAGUAAACCGUUACUGACCCCCACUGACCAGUUACUGACACCUAGUAACUAGUUACUGACCCCCUGUAACCAAAUUACUAACCCUCAGUAACCGACUUAUUACCCUCUAAUAUACAUGUUUGUUGUCUUCCCGUUGAUAGAUACAUCAAUAACACAAAAAAUGAAAUCAAUAACUAAUGCUAUACUUGUAAUCACACAUGAAAGAAACUUAUAACUUGAGCAGAAAUAUAUUUUGAGAACAGAAUUGCAACAUACUGCACUUAAUUCACAAGAAAUCACAACACUGCAACCUAGCUAUUCUCUUCAACAAGGUGCGUGCCCACAGUUUGGAUUCGGUAUACCCAGCCGCACAUUUGUAUUCUUCUUUGUACUGCAAACUCAAACAAAUCCCAAUCACAUACAAACACAUAUAUAGAUAGUCAAUGAUACAGAGGAAGGAAGACGGAGAAUUAAACCCUAACCUCGGAGAAAUCAACCUCGACCUUGGAUCUUACUCCUUGAGGAGCGAUGUAGCUGAUCUACACAUUCCGAUCUGUCGAUCCGAAGCCACCACCAUGCAGAUCCGUCAGACGCCAUUGUCACACAGUCCGACUCCACGAGCGGGAGCACAACCAGAAGCGCCAGCGCCUCGCAAUUCUGCUCGGGAUAAGUGGCCGGAGUCAAAGAUCGGCGAGCUCUGACGACGAAGCACGAGCCGGAUCUGGAUUCAAGCACGAGCUGAGGUUCGUCGUGUCGAGGCCGAGGAGCGUCGCCGGCGUGGCUGAGGACCUCGCGGUUCUGCUCGGAAUAAGUGGCUGGAGUCAGAGAUCGGCGAGCUUUGACGACGAAGCACGAGCCAGAUCUGGAUUCAAGCACGAGCUGAGGUUCGUCGUGUCGAGGCCGAGGAGUGUCGCCGGCAUGGUUGAGGAGUGUCGCCGUCGAGGCUUCGACGGUUGAUGCCUUAACACGAGAGAGAGAGAGAGAGAGAGAGAGAGAGAGAGAGAGAGAGAGAGAGAGAGAGAGAAUGAGAGAUAUUAGAUUUGAUUAGAGAGAGAAGAGUUUAAUUAUCAAUACAGGGUAUACUCGUAAUUUUAUUAAAAAUCAUUGAAAUGGGCUAAAAGAAAAGAUUUACAUUGAAAUGGGUAUUAAAAUCCUUGUUUUUGUGCAUUUGGGCAUUUUCUCUUUUAUUAAUAACUCACACACCCUACAUAUGUCAGUGAGGUUUGAACCUAUGAUCUCAAAGUUGUCAGUUAAACACUUUUUUUUUCUUUUUUUUUAGCGAAUUAUCAGUUAAACACCUUAACCAACCAAACCACAGCUCACCAACACACUAGAGGAAGAUUAUAUCAACCAUUAAGUGAUCUGAAGGAUGUGCCAGCAAGGUCACUUAAUAAUAGAAAAAUUACAAUAUAGGAAAAAUAACAAAUACAAAGGGAUCAGUAAAAUACACGAAUCAAAGAAAGAAUAAGAAUUUUCAUUGUUCAAACAAUCAAUUACCCUACUUCAAUUUCUUAGAGAGCAAAACCUCAUUUACCAUUUUGUCCAAAUCCAGAAAUGAUAAUCCAUUGGGACCAGUAGCAGCCUCCUUUGCCAGCUUCUUCCACUCCAUAGCUUUCUUCCUCAUUUCUUUUCCCUCCUCUCCUUCCAUUAGUUUCGUCACAAGUUCCUCUAUGUUACUUCUGUGGACAUCACCCUCUAUCUCCAUCCCUAUGCCCCAUUCUUUGCAACAAUACCUACAAUUGGUUUGUUGCUCAGCAAAGAAAGGCCAACAGAGCAUUGGAACGCCUGCACACACACUUUCGAGGGUUGAGUUCCACCCGCUGUGAGUCAAGAACCCUCCUAUUGCAGGGUGGUUCAGAACUUGUUCUUGAGGGCACCAAGUUGUCAAUAGACUCCUUUCUUUUGUCUCUUCCACAAACUCUGGUGGAACCACAGCUGAUUCCCCUCCGACAAGGUCAGGCCUAAUGACCCACAAAAAUGUCUUGCUGCUGUUUGCAAGUCCCCAAGCGAACUCAAUUAGCUGCUCGGAUGUCAUGACCGUGAUGCUUCCAAAAUUGACAUAAACUACAGAAUUAGGAGCUCUGGAGUCGAGCCAUUCAAGACACUCUGGUUCGUCUUUCCAUAGGUUUGAUUGAAUCGACUUCAAGUCGGUACCUUCACUUUGAACCUGAUCAAGCUGUAGAUGCAGGGGUCCAAUGGAGUAGAUAGGUGGUAGCAAAUUUUUAAGUGCAUCAAGAACUUCAUGUUCUAAGUCAUCGAUUGUGUUCAAAAUGAUAGCAGAAGCUCUUUUAGCUCGUUCUGUCUCAAUCAGCAUAGUCUUCAUCAUGCCGUCUUCUGGGUCAGUAGUCCUGAUGAAUGCCGGGAGGUCCCUCAAACGAAUACCUCUCAUGCCUGGUAACCAGUCUAUCUCAGUCUCCAAGUAACCAUUUGUCAAACAAGAGGCAUCUGCGGAUCGAAAAAUAGUAUUAGCUAGCUGUGAGUCUUAUUCAUACAUAAAUAGAAAACUUAUACUGGACCUAAUAUGCAUUCUUUGGACCUUUUAAUGAUGAAAAAUUGAAAAUGAUGAAAUAACAAAAUUAAAUAGCAACUAGGUGGCUAGUUGGAUUUUCAUUUUUAUCGAUCAAUGUAUAUACCUUUAAGAGGAAUGAGACCCUCAUCAAUGAGAUUCUGAUACUGCAUGUAGCCCAUGAAGCCACAAGCACUAGUUGUCCAGAAAAGAACUUCGGGAAUGCC
rnacentral:lncRNA from 1 species